AACAGCCCCCUGUUGAUUUGAUCCUCGUCUGUCUUGAGGCUGAAUUACCCUUGGCUGGUGCUGCAGGAGGUUAGAGGAUUACAGAAUAAAAGAUUGAAGUGUGGAUUCCUAAAGAAGGAAGAGGACUGAAGAAGUUCAGAUGCAGAUUCCACAGGGCUGUCGCAGUUCAUAGCUCAAAGAAAAACCUGAGGCUAUAAAAUCAAACAUGAUUGCUGCCAAAAUUUUGCCUUCCUGCACCUUUGUAAGAACCAGAAUGGAGCAGCCAGCUGUUGUUCCUCUAAGCCAAAGAUGUGGGCAGCCGAAAAAACUCCCAGCAAGAGCACGGGGAUCGGCAUGCUGCCAACGUCUGCCUCGUCAUUGUAAACAUACAAAGCCCCAAAAAGAAACUGAGCAAAUAUUUCCUAAG